rnacentral:rRNA from 1 species
UGGGGAAUUUCGCACAAUGGGGAAACCCUGAUGCAGCGACGCCGCGUGAUUUAGAAGGCCUUCGGGUUGUAAAAAUCUUUUCUAUGGGAAGAAAAUGACAGUACCAUAGGAAUAAGGACCGGCUAAUUACGUGCCAGCAGCCGCGGUAAUACGUAAGGUCCGAGCGUUGUCCGGAAUCAUUGGGCGUAAAGGGUACGUAGGCGGGUAAGCAAGUUAGAAGUGAAAUCCUAUAGCUCAACUAUAGUAAGCUUUUAAAACUGCUCAUCUUGAGGUAUGGAAGGGAAAGUGGAAUUCCUAGUGUAGCGGUGAAAUGCGCAGAUAUUAGGAGGAAUACCGGUGGCGAAGGCGACUUUCUGGCCAUAACCUGACGCUGAGGUACGAAAGCGUGGGUAGCAAACAGG